AACGUAGGUUCCGAGCGUUAUCCGGAUUUACUGGGCGUAAAGCGCGUUCAGGCGGUUUGGCAAGUCGGGCAUGAAAUCUCUCGGCUCAACCGGGAGAGGUUGUCCGAUACUGCUGGACUUGAGGGCAGUCGAGGGUGGUGGAAUUCCGGGUGUAGUGGUGAAAUGCGUAGAUAUCCGGAGGAACACCAGUGGCGAAAGCGGCCACCUGGACUGUACCUGACGCUGACACGCGAAAGCUAGGGGAGCGAACGGG
rnacentral:rRNA from 1 species